AUCGUUAUUCUUUGAGACAAACCCUUUCAUCGAGGGAUUCUGUGACCAUGGCUUGCCAGCAAGGCUCUGGAAUCUGCCCGUGUCUGAUCUCUGAAGUGCUGGGGUUGCAAGCUUACACAGUACUGCUGCUUUUUACAUGAGUACUGGGAUCCAAACUCAGGUUGACAUGCGUUGUGCAGCAAAUGUGUCACCAGAGCCAUCCCACCAGACCCGAGAUAUAGCUUCCAAAACUUACGGUAGUCUUAGCUUUGUCUCUGUGGAUUAUUUUUGAGAUGACGUUAUUCUAUGCCACAUUUUUACAAAAGCCACAGUAGUUUUGCUUCUAGUUAAGCGUCCUAAUAUUCUAAAAGGAUUUAAUUAACUUACAGGUGGUGUUCCUGAUGAGAUAAACAACGUGCUUCGUAUGUUGGACUGCAAUGUCCUCUACAGCUCGAAUUCCUGGGUGAGAAUGGAUCAGGGAUGAGUCACGUCUGAGGAUGAUGGACACAUGAGUCCAUGCAAACCUAUCCUGUGGUCAGAAGUGCUGAUGAAGAACAUGCUUCAUGAGGAAAUUGAAUGUCAUGAAAGUGUGCCUUUCAAAGUAAAGAAGGAACAGAUGAGAACUGAGGCAAAGAAAUAAGGUGAUAUUGGGCGACAGGACACUUGGGUGCUAACACUACACACUGUAACGAAGAGGCUUGUGACCAGGCUGUAGAAACCAGAUGGAAAGAGAAGUCCGAACUUCAGGAGCAAUGGCCACCAUAGCAGCUGAGCAAAGAGUUCGAAGCUACCAAGCGCGGUUUGUCUCGUCACAAUCUCCACCUUCAGGGGUGAAGCAAGAAACUAACUCCUCUGUAGCUAGAGAAACAGAGGCUCUUGGACAUCCAGGAGAAAUGAUAGCCUGUGCCUCUUUUGUCUGCAUUUACAAACAUGUAACAGAGUAAAAUAAUUGAAGACCUUUUUGGGUCCUAUAAAAGAUGUGACGUUCUUGCUGACAAGCUGCCUUGAAACCCAUUCUGCAGAUGCCGAAGAGAACACGCUCCUCACGGUGCAGCACAGGUCUUGCCUCUGCUCAUCCCUAGCUGAGAGCCCGUGGAGGCUCGUCUGGUUCUGACCAAGCAAAAUUAGUACGGAUGUGGUGUUAUCACGGCACUGAGAGAACUUCACAGGAUUAGUCCAGGGUGGACCAGUGAGGAGAGCAAGGAAGGUUCCAUCAAUCCCUGUUAUAGUUGAAGUAACUUCGUUUUCCUCUUAAGUUACCCCUAAAGGUAAAAUGAUCCAGUCCAUGUGAGAUCCGACGUUGCCAUCUCCCAAUUAUCUUCUUUAGCUCCAUUAGCAGCAAACCAUGCGUUUACUUCCCCAAUACUCUGACUUCCAGGGAGCUCCCCGUUCUUUCAGAUGACACCUUGAGGGUUGACCCCCACUCUGUUAUAACUCAGAUUUUGUUUCUGUCUCCAGAAUUGGGACAUGAUUCGUCAUGUAGCUGUAGCUAUUAAUAAAGUUUCAGGCUGGAGACAGUUUUCCUCCGUUUUAGUAAAUAAAACAAAAAGGAAAGAAGCAAGCCCGAGAGGCCACACCCCGGCCUCUACACAGACUCCGUGUGCUCUAAUUCUUUGAUUUGCGCUCAGGCUUCCUGUCAUUGUUACCUAGAAACUUCCCGUGAAAUGGACAGUAAAGCCUUUUAGGGCUGAAUAUGGCAAGGUGCUGUCACUGGAGUCUUUCCAUUCUGUACUUGGUUGUCCUUCAUCCCGACCUUGGAGGGGUUCUACUCUACGAGGGACUGACACCCAGAAGUAUUGCCUGAACUCUGUGUGAAGAGAGCACCAUAUGCAAUCCAUUUUGUUGUUUGAAGGGCUUCCUAAUGAGAUACAGCAUGGCUGGGAAAGCUGGUACAGGUUCCUCAUUUGCAUGGACUAUUUAGUCAAAAGCUAAGGGAUAAAAUUGGAAACGAGCACUCCCUAGGGUAAUCACGGUUUUUAUUUAUCCUGGAGGCCACUGGGCAUCAAAGAGCAGCUAUAUCCGAGCUGUUUCUAAAUCGGGAAGCCAGUUCGUGACUCUCUUCACAGGAGAUGUUAUGGUCAAACCCUGGAGAUUGCUGGUCAGCUGAGUCAGAUCUUCUCUCUCCACAAAUAGGGCAUAAAUAUUCUUCCUUCACAGAAGCAGAGUGAAAUCGUAAAUGGAACUAGUAUACAGACACAUGGUGACAUAGUUAAAAAGAAAGGCUGUGCAACUACCUUUUCCCCAGCACUUACAGGUGCGUCCAUUGGGUCUUUUCUGUAGCCUUCCAUUAUUUAUGUGUCUGAGUGAUUUGCCUGCAUGUUCAUAUGUGCACCACACACAUACCUGGUGUUUGCAGAGAUAAAAAGGGGGUAUCGGAGUCCCUGGGACUAAGUCUAUGGAUGGUUGUGGGCCAUUAAAUCCAGAUGUUCUGCAAGGCGGCAAGUGCUCUGAACAGCUGAAUUCUUCCUCCAGCUGCCAUUCGUCCUCAUCUUUCAGUGAACAAAUAAAUCUGAAUACACUAAUCUACAAUGCAGUAUGUGGGGAAGACAGGGCUUGGUCUCAUGUUCCAGUUCAAGAAAGAGCAUAUAAUCAGAACAGAUAUACACAUUGUGAUCAGUGUUUAUGGUGCAGAUGUACUGUAUACCGCGAGGAAAUCAUCCACGAGACACACACUGUUGGGUAGAGCACCGGCAAGGAGCAAAAAGGGGGGGCCUAACCUCUCUGGGUUAGAGGGCUUUCAUGGCAAAAAUUUGGAAAAAGUUCUCAACUAUGAAGAUGAGACAACUGAAGUUCAACUGUUUCUUCACAGUCUGUGUGGGUCUCUGGGGAUGUGAGCAUCUGUACCAAGGCCCUGCUGCUGAUGCCAGCCGAGUGUUACUCCUCACUGUGUGGAGACACCCUGGGCAGGAGUUCCUGGCCUUUGGAAGUAGUGUCUGGGGGGCAGAGCUUAGGAGAGGAGGCUUCUGGACUGCUCCGUCUGUCAGGCAGUUUUCUUUUUUCUCAGGACUAGCUCUCCAAGGAAAGACAGAAAGACAACACGAAAUAUCUUCUUUUUCUUUUCCAUGCUUCCAACAGGACUAAUUUACUAUGCAUUUUCUAUUUUUAAUAAAGCCAACACUGUCUAAGAUUUCGCUGGUAUGUUGCUUCGGCUCAAAAUCUCUCCCAGGUAUUUGUAUUUCAUGGUUUACUCUCAGCAGCGUGGUUCAAUUGGACACUUUUGCUCAGUGACUGAUUUCUCUGAGAGGUUGAAUUAGCUCAACUUCUCUGCUGUGAAGCUGCCAGUGGAUGUAUCUUCUUUCCUUUUUG
rnacentral:sRNA from 1 species